CCCCCCUGGGAUAAAUACUGACGCUCAUGCACGAAAGCGUGGGGAGCAAAACAGGAUUAGAUACCCGGGUAGUCCCACGCCCUAAACGAUGUCAACUAGCUGUCGGGGGUCUUCGGGACUUUGGUAGCGCAGCUAACGCGUGAAGUUGACCGCCUGGGGGAGUACGGUCGCAAGAUUAAAACUCAAAGGAAUUGACGGGGACCCGCACAAGCGGUGGAUGAUGUGGAUUAAUUCGAUGCAACGCGAAAAACCUUACCUACCCUUGACAUGUCUGGAAUCCCGAAGAGAUUUGGGAGUGCUCGAAAGAGAACCGGAACACAGGUGCUGCAUGGCCGUCGUCAGCUCGUGUCGUGAGAUGUUGGGUUAAGUCCCGCAACGAGCGCAACCCUUGUCAUUAGUUGCUACGAAAGGGCACUCUAAUGAGACUGCCGGUGACAAACCGGAGGAAGGUGGGGAUGACGUCAGGUCCUCAUGGCCCUUAUGGGUAGGGCUUCACACGUCAUACAAUGGUCGGGACAGAGGGCAGCCAACCCGCGAGGGGGAGCCAAUCCCAGAAACCCGAUCGUAGUCCGGAUUGCAGUCUGCAACUCGACUGCAUGAAGUCGGAAUCGCUAGUAAUCGCGGAUCAGCAUGCCGCGGUGAAUACGUUCCCGGGUCUUGUACACACCGCCCGUCCCCCAUGGGAGUGGGUUCUACCAGAAGUAGUUAGCCUAACCGCAAGGAGGGCGAU
rnacentral:rRNA from 1 species